CAGAAUAUAGCUAAACGCAUAGCAUUUCCCUUACACUGAAAAGUUGCCCGCGCAAACCAGGCUAUUCUGA
rnacentral:tRNA from 1 species